rnacentral:misc_RNA from 1 species
UACGAAGGGGGCGAGCGUUGUUCGGAAUCACUGGGCGUAAAGCGUGCGUAGGCUGUUUUGCAAGUUGGAAGUGAAAUCCCGGAGCUCAACUCCGGAACUGCUCUCAAAACUGCAAGACUCGAAUCCGGGAGAGGAUAGCGGAAUUCCAAGUGUAGUAGUGAAAUACGUAGAUAUUUGGAGGAACACCAGUGGCGUAAGCGGCUAUCUGGACCGGUAUUGACGCUGAGGCACGAAAGCGUGGGGAGCAAACAGG